rnacentral:rRNA from 1 species
GACGUAGGGCGCGAGCGUGUCCGGAUUUAUUGGGCGUAAAGAGCUCGUAGGCGGUCUGUCGCGUCGGUCGUGAAAACCUGCAGCUUAACUGUGGGCUUGCGGUCGAUACGGGCAUGACUGGAGUUCGGCAGGGGAGACUGGAAUUCCUGGUGUAGCGGUGAAAUGCGCAGAUAUCAGGAGGAACACCGGUGGCGAAGGCGGGUCUCUGGGCCGAUACUGACGCU